AUGUGUGCUGGGUCCCAAGAGAGAAGGGGGUGGAUAGGACUGGUAGUUUCUCAGAUGUGCAUCUUCUUGCAGAAUCGUCUGGCCAAAGUGAGAUCUCAGAAUUACUCACCAGGAAGGAACCAUGGAGCAGAACUCAAAGGAACAGUCCAGCUCCCCUCAAAAGCAAGGAGUGAAAGCUCGGUCCAAAUCCACAGAGGAAAUGCAGCCUGCCAAGAAGGCAUUCCAAACACCGCAGAAAUCCUUACCAAACCAGAUGGAUGAAGAGGAAUCCAAGGGUUCCUGUCCUGUCCCUGGCUCCACUCAGCAAGAACAGCAGCAGACCUGAAGAACAGGAGCUGAUUGAGCGUCAACUACCAAGAAAUGGAGUCAUGACCAUUCCUCGUGCUGUCCCUUGGCUUGGCCUUGUUGCUCCGUCGUUACGCCCUUGUGGAUGUCCCUGUAGUUCCUUCUGUCCAGCUGUUGCUGUCUGAUUGUCUGUCUUCUCUGUGGAAUGAAUCUAGGUCAAUAAAGUUUGUUGGAACAUCUUUGCUCUCAUCUCCUACAUAUAUGCAACUGUCAUUUUUACCACCAAACCCUGAAGUUUGAGGCAGGGUGAGAAGAACUGGAGGCCAAAUGUUAUGAAGGAGCUUGACUCUGUCAUAUUACGUGUGGGUGGAUAUCAUGCUAAUUGUCUCUGUAGAGAACCCAAAGAUUGUUCUUACACUGCAUCAAAGCGCCACUGGAUUAUGUUUUGAUAGAGCGAGCCUUCCGCGUUUAGCAUGCUAGACAUCUGCCUUGUGGUGGUGGCUCUUGUGCCUAUUAAAGUUCUGUCUAUUGAUUUCCUUGUUGGUAGCCCUAUCAUUUUGGAGGGGAGGGUCCUUCAUUUCAUGCAUCUGUUACUUGCUAAAACUGAUGAGAAAUUCACUUUUUCCAUCCCUUGUCAGAGCCAAGGAAAUACAACCAUAUGUGGAGCCAGUCAUGUUCCUGAGAGUCCAUAUGAAACACCCCCAUUUCAAAGUGUGUGUGUCUGUGUGUGAAGUUAUCCUUCUGAAAGAAAACUUGAGCAAAGGAAACAUUCCACUUGGCAUCCCAUGAUGAUGAUGUGCUAUGAAAGGGCUGUACCACACACCCUUCUUGUACAUAAAAAUCAGCUCUCAAACAUUCAUGCCAAAGAUAACACAAAUAGGAAGCUUUCUGUGCGGUUUGGGUGUCAGAUGUCUCUGGGACAAAAGGCUCUGAAUGGGAAGAAAAUAGCAAACAUUUUGUUCUAGUUUGAAAGCCACAGGCCACAAAAAAGGAUGAUUCACUCUGCGCCCACAACCAAGGGUGGGAGAGAAAGUGAGAGAAUGAGCGAAUCUUCCUCUUUCUGCAGCAAACACUGGCACAGUUAACCACCUACCUUCUCAGAAACCCAUUGACUUGGCAUGCUAGAGGGGGCAGGAGGAAGAAGACAUGGAGCGUCAAUAGGACGUCACAUUAUGUUUUGGUCGAGGACUUUGGUCUAGCACAGUCAAUGAGUGAUAGGCCAGGGAUGGCUGAGUAGUUUAAUGAUUGUAAGUUGUAUUGAAGAGAGGGUUGCUGGCUCUCUGCUAGUCUCUUUUGGCCAAAGUCUCAUCCCCCUUCUAUAAAGAGCUCCAAGGGAUAUCACAAGGCAAGAGUCUCAAGAGUUCUACAUAAAUAAGUCCUUGAGAUGAUUGAAGCAAAUGGGAGAAUCUCUGUACCCUUGGGGAAAAUCUUUCUGAUGUCAGGCAUGAAAUCCAUGACUUGAAUACAUACUUUUGAGCAGUUUUUACGUUGCUCAAAGCUCAGAACAUGAAAUGAGCCACGUUUUAGGAUUGUGUAACCUGAAUGUCCCUAAGUAAUAUUUGCCUUAAGAACAUUUUUUCCCCCAUUUAUCACGGUUCCCUUCUGCAUUAGUGGUGCCCAGAGUAAUAUCUAUUAGAAAAGGAUAUCUCGGAUUGUUUCAGCCUGCCUACAUGUACUUUCAGCAUUUUCAUCUGAUUUUUUGUAAUUCUGUCUUUUAUACACCAAUGAUCUCUUUCCAAAAUUGUUUUAUUUUGUUUAUUUUCUAGUCCACUAGUUUUGCAGACCACAAUAAUACCUUUCGGAAUUCUUUUCUCAUUCUUUUUCAGAUAGUGCAGUGAAUAAACAGGAACAUGUCUAGGAAAAGGCAGGCUCAAAUGUGUUGCACUUAAAAACAAAACUCUAGAGCAGGGAGAAUGAUCUUUUGGACUAUAAAUUCAAGAAAUCCACCACCAUAAUAACUAUUUUGAGAGUAAGAGCUAAAAGCCUGAAAAAGUAAUGUUGCGUACUCUGAAAAAUGAAUUUGGAAAGUUAAAAAAAAACCUUAGUCGUUAUGGAAGUAUGAAGCACAUGUGAUAUAAAUAGCAAAGUUAUGACACUCAUAAAGCCAGGUUGCCUAUAAAUAACAAGAACCAUAAAAUAUUUUUUUAGAAGUUAAAAACAGAUUUUAGCAGAUGUGUCUAUCUGGCCCUUGUUUAUGUAUGUAUCUCAAGUGGUCAUUUGUUGAUUGAUUUAUAUUUAGAUUGAUUUUUAUUUAGACUACUCUCAGCUAAUGGGUCCUCAAAGUGGUUUGCAAUCAAAUCAUAAUAAAACAUACUAAACACUUGUUGAACAAGACAACUAAGAAGUCAGAUAAUGUAUGUCCGUAUGAUCAUUUUUCCUCGUUUGUCUUGACAAAAAAGAAACCCCC
ensembl:lncRNA